ACGCCAAUACGCCUCCGCUAUUUGGUGAAUAUCUUGGCUUGGGCACCGAUGAAGAGCGUGACAAGCUGCGAUAAGCUCGGGCUAGUCGCAUGAAGACGUUGACCCCGAGAUUCUCGAAUAGGACAUCCGCUUGCGGCCAAAUAAUCCGCAAGAUUCCCUUGUGGGAAAGGGAACCCUGAGAAGUAAAACAUUUUAGUAUCAGGAGGAAAAGAAAACAAUAGUGAUUCCGUGAGUAACGGCGAGCGAAAGCGGAACAGAUCAAACCGAAUCCCUAGGGAAACCUAGUGGAGAUGUGGUGUAUGGACCUCGUACGACUUCCCUAGAGAAGAUGAAUACUCCUGGAAAGUUGAGCCAUAGAGCGUGAUAGCCGCGUAAUUGUAACCUAGAAAGUUGCUGCGAGAGUUCCUGAGUAGUGCGGGAUGGUUUUCUCGUACGAAUGUGCCAGAUACACGCUGGCAAAUCUAAAUAUGUCCCAAGACCGAUAGCGUAGUAGUAGCGUGAGCGAAAGAUGAAAAGUAACCCGGAAGGGCCGUGAAAAGUGCUUGAAACCAAAUAGCUUAGUAAGGAUGCAGCCUGAAAGGAUAGAUUCUGCGCGAAUGAGUUCUGGUGACAGAACAUCAGAGCACAGAGGACUAGGGUUGCAUCAUCAGUCUGGAAU
rnacentral:rRNA from 1 species